rnacentral:rRNA from 1 species
GUGGGGAAUAUUGGGCAAUGGGCGCAAGCCUGACCCAGCAACGCCGCGUGAAGGAAGAAGGCUUUCGGGUUGUAAACUUCUUUUGUCGGGGACGAGUAGAAGACGGUACCUGGCGAAUAAGCCACGGCUAACUACGUGCCAGCAGCCGCGGUAAUACGUAGGUGGCAAGCGUUGUCCGGAUUUACUGGGUGUAAAGGGCGUGUAGCCGGGAAGGCAAGUCAGAUGUGAAAUCCACGGGCUUAACUCGUGAACUGCAUUUGAAACUGUUUUUCUUGAGUAUCGGAGAGGCAAUCGGAAUUCCUAGUGUAGCGGUGAAAUGCGUAGAUAUUAGGAGGAACACCAGUGGCGAAGGCGGAUUGCUGGACGACAACUGACGGUGAGGCGCGAAAGCGUGGGGAGCAAACAGGAUUAGAUACCCCAGUAGUCC